CCAUGGCCACACCCUUUAAUGAAACCUCAAGAUGUUCACAAUUUAACAUUGCAAAGGCCUUUAGAUUAGACUGACCAAAUAAUUCUAAAAUGUCAUAAAAUUUCUAGGAGUAGUUUGUUACGGCGUAAAACAUGUCACUUCCUGUUGCCAGCAGGUGGCGCUAUAGCGAUAUCUGAAUAUUGGCAUGUAGAUAUAUUCAGGUCAGGAGUCUUCUCAAACAUGUGAAGUUUGGGGCAGAUUGGACAUUGUAUGUCUGAGUUAUAGCAACUUCAUUUUUCAUGGCGAAUCAUCGAAAUUCGUCA
ensembl:lncRNA